rnacentral:rRNA from 1 species
AUACCCGAUCUGAUAGGAUGUACGGCCACAUUGGGACUGAAACACGGCCCACACUCCUACGGGAGGCAGCAGUGGGGAAUAUUGCACAAUGGAGGGAACUCUGAUGCAUCGACGCCGCAUGAGUGAAUAACUAUUUCGGUAUGUAAAGCUCUAUCACCAGGGAAGAAAAUGACGGUACCUGACUAAGAAGCACCGGCUAAAUACCUGCCAGCAGCCGCGGUAAUACGUAUGGUGCAAGCGUUAUCCGGAUUUACUGGGUGUAAAGGGGGCGUAGGUGGCAAGGCAAGCCAUAAGUGAAAACCCGGGGCUCAACCGCGGGAUUGCUUUUGGAACUGUCAUGCUAGAGUGCAGGAGGGGUGAGCGAAAUUCCUAGUGUAGCGGUGAAAUGCGUAGAUAUUAGGAGGAACACCGGAGGCGAAGGCGGCUCACUGGACUGUAACUGACAC